UGGCGAAAUUGUGUUUUACUACAAUACUGUC
rnacentral:piRNA from 1 species